rnacentral:rRNA from 1 species
UUGGAGGGCAAGUCUGGUGCCAGCAGCCGCGGUAAUUCCAGCUCCAAUAGCGUAUAUUAAAGUUGUUGCAGUUAAAAAGCUCGUAGUUGAAUUUCGGGGUCAGUAGGUUGGUCAUGCCACUGGUAUGUACUGGUCUCACUGAUUCCUCCUUCCUGAUGAGCCGUUAUGCCAUUAAUUUGGUGUUGCGAGGAAUCUGGACUGUUACUUUGAAAAAAUUAGAGUGUUUAAAGCAAGCUAACGCUUGAAUACAUUAGCAUGGAAUAAUGAAAUAGGACGUUCGACCCUAUUUUGUUGGUUUCUAGGAUUGACGUAAUGAUUAAUAGGGAUAGUUGGGGGCAUUAGUAUUCAAUUGUCAGAGGUGAAAUUCUUGGAUUUAUUGAAGACUAACUACUGCGAAAGCAUUUGCCAAGGAUGUUUCCAUUAAUCAAGAACGAAAGUUAGGGGAUCGAAGACGAUCAGAUACCGUCGUAGUCUUAACCAUAAACUAUGCCGACUAGGGAUCGGAUGAUGUUAAUUUUUUAAUGACUCAUUCGGCGCCUUACGGGAAACCAAAGUGUUUGGGUUC